CCGAAGGGGGUAGCGGAAGGAAGAAAUUCUGCAGCAGGAACGUGAAUGACUGGCCCUGACCAAAGAGGCUGGCCCCUGGGCCCAGCAUCGCACGGGAGAGUCUCCUCUGGAUGGGCCUGCAUUGGUCCUGGAGGCCUUGGCUGCGCUGCUGACUGACGCACCAGGAGCGGUGCAGAGGGGAGGCGGGAGAGGCCCUGGCCCUCGCCCCGCACCGGUCCCACAUCUGCUCGGGCGGUGGUUGCUCAUGGUCGAUGCACUCAGAGUUCCUGGGGCUGAGGACCCCAGCAGCCUGCUUGCCCCCAGGACAGAGCGGCCGAGCCUCACACCAUGUGCCCUCCUCAGCUGCCCAGCUGGAGCCGGGUCCCAGGUGAGCAUCUCUGCCUGCCUCACCCCGGGGCCGGAGGCUGCGCCAAGGCCACCACGUGCCGCCCACAGAUGCCCACCGACGGGGCCUGAUGGCUUCCUUCCUUGUGCCAAGUCACCCGGGAGCCCUGGUCCUGGUGGCCCCUCCUCCACCCCAACUGUGUCCACUUCUGGGAGCCUGCCAGCCUGCGGACUGCAUCCACGGAGCUCUGGGGACAGCCUCUGAGAGACUGUGACACGGGGCUGCACGGGAGGAGAGGAGAGACUGUGACACGGGGCUGCACGGGAGGAGAGGAGAGACUGUGACACGGGGCUGCAUGGGAGGAGAGGAGAGACUGUGACACGGGGCUGCACGGGAGGAGAGGAGCAGAGGGCGAGGGGCCUCCUUGGGGAUGAUUCGCAGAUGUGCCCCUUUCAAGCCCAGCUCUCACCCUCCGGGUGGCUCGAUCCCCAGCUGCAGCCUCUUGCUGGGCCAGCCUGAGAGGGCCUGAGAGUGGCACAGGGGAGGCUCUUCGCUGACCGCGUGGGUGCCUGUGUGUGAGUGCGCGUGUAUGAGUGUGGGCGGGUGUGAGCGUGUGUGUGGGUGCUCGUGCACACACACGAGUGGCUGUGCGUUGCGGCGGGCGCGGAGCUGUUGCGCAGAGUGAGGUGCACAGGGUGCCCCGUCCUCGCUGGGCUCGGGGCUCAGCCGGAGCUGCCUGGGGCUGCUUCCCAACAGGGAGAAAGCGUGCUGGAGGCCCAGGGGCCCGGGCUCACAGACCCCCUCCCACCCGCAGAGCACCCCCCCAUCGUGGGAGGGGCACGGCGGUGGCCCUGGCUGGGGCUGUCUGCGCUCUGAGGGACUGGCCGUGGGAGGGGCUGGGGACGCGUCCUUAGCAUGCGCUCCUGCCGCCGCUGUUCUUACGGUUCUGGCCUUGAGUACUUAGCUGCCUCUGCUUUCCCACCUCUUCCUCGUCUCCCCCGCUGGGCCCUUGCUGCUUGACGGGCUCUCAGAGCACUUUAUUUAUUUGCCGUCUGUUUCUCAGGCAGUGGAGCUUCUACAAAAUCAGACACCGACUUGAAUAAGACAACUUCCACUUUUCUGUGUGUGAUGUACUCUGCACCGGGCAGCAGCGUCUGGUCAGAGAAAUGUUCUUGUUUCGGGUGUUGUCAAAUCUUGUUGUCUGUCUCAGUUAAGAAGAAAGUCUUUUGAGUUCAAUCACAUAAAAACUGGAGGCCUCCUGUUUCUGCCGCCUCGGAGGAGAGAGGGGCCGGCGGCGAGCUCACCCCACUCUGGUGGCCGGGAGCUGGGGGAGGGGAGCACCCCGAGGGCCCUAAGGGGGCGGGGCUGAGGGCGGGGCUGGUGCCGGGUCAGAAGAUGCAGUGAGACCCGACCUGACCCGGACCACUGCUCCCGUGAGGGGAAGGCAGCAGCACAGGCCUGGCCCAAGAGGCGGCACUUUGUCCCAUUCACAAACUUCAUUUGAAUAAACUAACCCCUAAGCCUUUUCUUCAUCUUAGAGGCUGGUGUUAGAAGGCGCGUAAUUCAGCUGAACCCCGGGGGUGGGCUGGGGUAGGUGAGGAGGAAUGGACCGUCUGCAGAUCAUUUUGUGUCCCCGAAGGCCCUUCCGCAGCAGCAGGUGGCAGGGUC